CCUACGGGUGACAGCAGUCGAGAAUCAUUCACAAUGGGGGAAACUCUGAUGGUGCGACGCCGCGUGGGGGAAUGAAGGUCUUCGGAUUGUAAACCCCUGUCAUGUGGGAGCAAAUUAAAAAGAUAGUACCACAAGAGGAAGAGACGGCUAACUCUGUGCCAGAAGCCGCGGUAAUACAGAGGUCUCAAGCGUUGUUCGGAAUCACUGGGCGUAAAGCGUGCGUAGGCUGUUUCGUAAGUCGUGUGUGAAAGGCGCGGGCUCAACCCGCGGACGGCACAUGAUACUGCGAGACUAGAGUAAUGGAGGGGGAGCCGGAAGUCGCGGUGUAGCAGUGAAAUGCGUAGAUAUCGAGAGGAACACUCGUGGCGAAGGCGGGUUCCUGGACAUUAACUGACGCUGAGGCACGAAGGCCAGGGGAGCGAAAGGGAUUAGAUACCCCAGUAGUC
rnacentral:rRNA from 1 species